UCACUGCGCUUGCGCGCGGACUAUAAAACUCGGGUUCGCACGCUCUUUCUUCCCAGUUCCGUCUUCUUUGUGAGAGUAUGGGGGCUGUUGGACCAUGGCUCUUUCCUAUAGCGCUUACUCCGAUUUUGAUCAUACUGGAGCCUAAUGGAUGACCUGUGGAGUCUCCAAGACUCUUGAGUCUCUUGGAACUCCAAACCCGGAACAAUUCUGUAAUUCAAGAGGAACUUGCACCUUUUUGAAUGGCCACACAAGUAAAACUGAGGUGUUUGAGCACUCUGUGCCGAUGAAGACCCCCCUCAGAGCCAAGUGGCUGAAGUACACAGGCUUUCUCGACGCGGCAAAGGAGAGGAAAGACCUUUCUGAGUCUUAAAGUGGCUUUUAUGACCUAGUCUUCCAACGUGAUGUUUUUAGAGGCUGUUUGAUCCAUUUCUCAGAAUGCUGUCACUAUUGCUUGCAACUUCUAUGCAAGUGUAGGUCUUAUAGCUGGUAGUUGCUGCUUUCUUGUACAAUAAAACUCUUAAACAUCA